rnacentral:tRNA from 1 species
GAUCUAGUCGCACAAUUGGGCGUGCAGUCGGCUCUUAACCGUUGAGGAUGUGGGUUCGAGUCCCACCUAGAUCAC